AGAGUUUGAUCAUGGCUCAGAUUGAACGCUGGCGGCAGGCCUAACACAUGCAAGUCGAACGGUAACAGGAAGCAGCUUGCUGCUUCGCUGACGAGUGGCGGACGGGUGAGUAAUGUCUGGGAAACUGCCUGAUGGAGGGGGAUAACUACUGGAAACGGUGGCUAAUACCGCAUAACGUCGCAAGACCAAAGAGGGGGACCUUCGGGCCUCUUGCCAUCAGAUGUGCCCAGAUGGGAUUAGCUUGUUGGUGAGGUAACGGCUCACCAAGGCGACGAUCCCUAGCUGGUCUGAGAGGAUGACCAGCCACACUGGAACUGAGACACGGUCCAGACUCCUACGGGAGGCAGCAGUGGGGAAUAUUGCACAAUGGGCGCAAGCCUGAUGCAGCCAUGCCGCGUGUAUGAAGAAGGCCUUCGGGUUGUAAAGUACUUUCAGCGGGGAGGAAGGUGUUGUGGUUAAUAACCGCAGCAAUUGACGUUACCCGCAGAAGAAGCACCGGCUAACUCCGUGCCAGCAGCCGCGGUAAUACGGAGGGUGCAAGCGUUAAUCGGAAUUACUGGGCGUAAAGCGCACGCAGGCGGUCUGUCAAGUCGGAUGUGAAAUCCCCGGGCUCAACCUGGGAACUGCAUUCGAAACUGGCAGGCUUGAGUCUUGUAGAGGGGGGUAGAAUUCCAGGUGUAGCGGUGAAAUGCGUAGAGAUCUGGAGGAAUACCGGUGGCGAAGGCGGCCCCCUGGACAAAGACUGACGCUCAGGUGCGAAAGCGUGGGGAGCAAACAGGAUUAGAUACCCUGGUAGUCCACGCCGUAAACGAUGUCUACUUGGAGGUUGUGCCCUUGAGGCGUGGCUUCCGGAGCUAACGCGUUAAGUAGACCGCCUGGGGAGUACGGCCGCAAGGUUAAAACUCAAAUGAAUUGACGGGGGCCCGCACAAGCGGUGGAGCAUGUGGUUUAAUUCGAUGCAACGCGAAGAACCUUACCUGGUCUUGACAUCCACGGAAGUUUUCAGAGAUGAGAAUGUGCCUUCGGGAACCCGCGAAGAACCUUACCUGGUCUUGACAUCCACAGAACUUUCCAGAGAUGGACUGGUGCCUUCGGGAACUGUGAGACAGGUGCUGCAUGGCUGUCGU
rnacentral:rRNA from 1 species